UAGCGAAGGGGGCUAGCGUUGCUCGGAAUUACUGGGCGUAAAGGGCUCGUAGGUGGCCAACUAAGUCAGACGUGAAAUCCCUCAGCUUAACUGGGGAACUGCGUCUGAUACUGGAUGGCUUGAGUUUGGGAGAGGGAUGCGGAAUUCCAGGUGUAGCGGUGAAAUGCGUAGAUAUCUGGAGGAACACCGGUGGCGAAGGCGGCAUCCUGGACCAACACUGACACUGAGGAGCGAAAGCCAGGGGAGCGAAACGGG
rnacentral:rRNA from 1 species